CGCCAUAUCACGUUGAAACACUGAUUUCUGUACGAACACCGAAUUUAAGCAACGUCGAUUUUGGUCAGUACCUAAAUGGGUGACCGCUUGGGAAUACCAGGUGCUAUA